CUCCAGUCCCUCUUCGGCGUAUUAGGUCCAACAAGUUAAAAAAAAAAAAGAAUCAAGCAAUGAUUAGGAACUCAUUCAGAGCUUCUGUGCAGAUUGAGUUGAACUCGCAUUGAUCAAAUUUGACAGACAUAGGUCCUCCUAGAGGCCCCCGGAACCGGGAAUGUCUAUCCAUUCGAAGCUUUUUCUGUACGUCGAGUUGAACUCGCAAUGAUCAAAUUUGACAGAGCUAGUCCUACUGCAGGCCCCUGGAACCGGGAAUGUCUAUCCAUUCAAGCUGGAGCUCGACCUCACCGCGCUCCACGCCACGGAGCC